UUCCCUGACAAUUUUGUUUUUAAAUAUGCUAGUAACAAUAUUCUAGUUUGUUCAAAAUUUGAACAUUUUUAUUACUUGAAUUUUUUUGGGAUCAUGGCAUAAACAAAGCAUGUGCUUGCUUAAUGUUUCUUCAUUUUUUGCCUAAAGCAUUGCUAAAAUGCUAUCUCUACCUCUCAUGCUCAUGGGCAUUUACCUGCCUGCAUCAUUUGCACAUAUUUUUGCAAUGAGUGGGCAUCUAGGUACACAUGCAAUCUAUUGAUAUGUGAUAUUCUUGGAAAUGCAAAUUUGUUACGAAAAAAAUGUUAUCGGUAUCCAACACUAAUAGCAACAUGAGAUAUGAGUGAAAAAAAAAGGACUCAAGUUAGACUUUGUUUCUUGUGCAUAACUGAGUAUGGUUAUCUCUCACCAUGUUUUUUAUGAGUUGCAAUUUGCAAAUAUAUCUCACUUCUAAAAUCAAGAGGAGGAUGUUGUCAUGUGAAAGCUAUGUGUGAAAAAAAAAAAGUCCUGAGUUGGACUCUGCUUCAAUUUCUGGCGGAUCUAGAAAUUUUUUUUCCAAGGUCAAUAAUAAAAAAUAAAAAAUAAAUAUUAUAAAAAAUAAAAAAUAUAAUAAGUAAUUAGACUCAACGAAAUCUAACACCUUGAAAAUUAUAAAAAAAUUAUAUUAUUAUUAAUGCUAUCAAAAUACAUAUCUCUUUGAAGGUAAAUAUUUUUCUGUGUAUUUUAUUG
rnacentral:misc_RNA from 1 species